rnacentral:rRNA from 1 species
GACGAACGCUGGCGGCGUGCCUAAUACAUGCAAGUCGAGCGGACGGAUGGGAGCUUGCUCCCAGACCGUCAGCGGCGGACGGGUGAGUAACACGUGGGCAACCUGCCUGUAAGACUGGGAUAACUCCGGGAAACCGGGGCUAAUACCGGAUAACUCUUUCCCUCACAUGAGGGAAAGCUGAAAGAUGGCAUCUCGCUAUCACUUACAGAUGGGCCCGCGGCGCAUUAGCUAGUUGGUGAGGUAACGGCUCACCAAGGCGACGAUGCGUAGCCGACCUGAGAGGGUGAUAGGCCACACUGGGACGGAGACACGGCCCAGACGCCUGCGGGAGGCAGCAGUAGGGAAUCUUCCGCAAUGGACGAAAGUCUGACGGAGCAACGCCGCGUGAGUGAUGAAGGUUUUCGGAUCGUAAAACUCUGUUGUCAGGGAAGAACAAGUACCGGAGUAACUGCCGGUACCUUGACGGUACCUGACCAGAAAGCCACGGCUAACUACGUG